rnacentral:rRNA from 1 species
GACGUAGGGGGCCAGCGUUGUUCGGAAUUACUGGGUGUAAAGGGUUCGUAGGCGGUGCGGCAAGUUGGGAGUGAAAUCUCUGGGCUUAACCCAGAGGCUGCCUCCAAAACUGCUGUGCUUGAGUGUGGGAGAGGCGCGUGGAAUUGCAGGUGUAGCGGUGAAAUGCGUAGAUAUCUGCAGGAACACCCGUGGCGAAAGCGGCGCGCUGGACCACUACUGACGCUGAGGAACGAAAGCUAGGGGGAGCAAACAGG